CUUGCUCUUCCUCUAGCCCAACCACCCAUACCCCAUUAACCAUCAAAAACCUACUACCCAAAUCAAACUAAAACAUUCUAACCUACUCCUAGUAUAGGUGAUAGAAAAGACCUUAGGCGCAAUAGAGACCAACCGUACCGUAAGGGAAAGAUGAAAUAAUAGUGAAAACCAUAAGCAAAAAAUAGUAAAGACCAACCCUUGUACCUCUUGCAUCAUGAUUUAGCAAGAACAACCAAGCAAAGCGAACUAAAAGUUUGCCCUCCCGAAACCUAAGCGAGCUACCUACGAGCAGCUAAAAUUGAGCGAACCCAUCUCUGUCGCAAAAGAGUGGGAUGACUUGUUGGUAGAGGUGAAAAGCCAAUCGAGCUAGGUGAUAGCUGGUUACCUGCUAAAUGAAUUUAAGUUCCUCCUUAACCCAUUCACCAAGGACAUUCACCCAACCCUGCUCAUGUUAGGGUUAAGAGCAACUCGACGGGGGUACAGCCCCCUCGAAAAAGAAUACAACCUCCCCCAGCGGAUAAUAACACUUUCUCCACCUAUCGUAGGCCCUAAAGCAGCCAUCAACAAAAGAGUGCGUCAAAGCUCCACCAAUAAAAAUCUAGAACCCUAUUCGACUCCCUCACCUAAAGCAGGUUAACCUAUGAAAAUAGAAGAAUUUAUGCUAAAAUGAGUAACUAGGAACCCUCCUUCACACAGCGUAAACUUACAUUAAUAUAUUAUUAACAGAACUCAACUUAUAUACGCACUUCAACAAGACUUCAUAUUUAAGCCUAAACCUGUUAAGCCAACUCAGGGACGCUUACAUAAACGAUUAAAACUUACAGAAGGAACUCGGCAAAUUAAAGACCCGACUGUUUACCAAAAACAUAGCCUUCAGCGAACAACAAGUAUUGAAGGUGAUGCCUGCCCAGUGACCCCCAAAGUUCAACGGCCGCGGUAUCCUAACCGUGCGAAGGUAGCGCAAUCAAUUGUCUCAUAAAUUGAGACUUGUAUGAAUGGCUAAACGAGGUCUUAACUGUCUCCUGUGAGUAAUCAGUGAAAUUAGUGUUCUCGUGCAAAAACGAGAAUGUGAUCAUAAGACGAGAAGACCCUGUGGAACUUAAAAAUAACGACCACCCUUCCACCAACAACACCCACUGGACCCACCCACAUAAAACGCCUGGUCGACAUUUUUUGGUUGGGGCGACCUUGGAGAAAAACAAAUCCUCCAAACCCAUAGAUCACAAUUCUUCACCAAGACCAACGCAUCAAAGUACUAAUAGUAAUUUAGACCCAAUACAAUUGAUUAAUGAACCAAGCUACCCCAGGGAUAACAGCGCAAUCUCCUCCAAGAGCCCAUAUCGACAAGGAGGUUUACGACCUCGAUGUUGGAUCAGGACAACCUAAUGGUGCAGCCGCUAUUAAGGGUUCGUUUGUUCAACGAUUAACAGUCCUACGUGAUCUGAGUUCAGACCGGAGCAAUCCAGGUCAGUUUCUAUCUAUGAAUAAGAACUCCUCCUAGUACGAAAGGACCGGAGAAGUGGGGCCAAUACUACAAAGCACGCCCUAGCCUUAUAAGCAAUGAAUUCAACUCAAUUGCCAAAAGCCUUACACACACCUAACUCCUAGAAAAGGACCC
ensembl:Mt_rRNA